UACGGAGGGUGCGAGCGUUGUCCGGAAUCACUGGGCGUAAAGGGCGCGAUAGGUGGCCUGUGGAAGUCUGCGGUGAAAGCCCGGCGCUCAACCUCGAGACGCCGAUGGAAACCAUGUGGCUAGAGUCCGGAAGAGGAGAGUGGAAUUCCUGGUGUAGCGGUGAAAUGCGCAGAUAUCAGGAAGAACACCCGUGGCUAAGGCGGCUCUCUAGUACGGUACUGACGCUGAGACGCGAAAGCGUGGGGAGCGAACAGG
rnacentral:rRNA from 1 species